rnacentral:rRNA from 1 species
UGGGGAAUAUUGGGCAAUGGGCGCAAGCCUGACCCAGCCAUGCCGCGUGAGUGAUGAAGGCCUUCGGGUCGUAAAGCUCUGUGGGGAGGGACGAACAGCCUGGCGGUUAAUACCCGCCGGGUCUGACGGUACCUCCUUAGCAAGCACCGGCUAACUCCGUGCCAGCAGCCGCGGUAAUACGGGGGGUGCAAACGUUGCUCGGAAUUAUUGGGCGUAAAGCGCACGUAGGCGGUCUUGUAAGUCGGGUGUGAAAGCCCGGGGCUUAACCCCGGAAGUGCACUCGAAACUGCAAGGCUUGAGUAUGGAAGAGGGUCUCGGAAUUCCCGGUGUAGAGGUGAAAUUCGUAGAUAUCGGGAGGAACACCAGUGGCGAAGGCGGAGACCUGGGCCAAUACUGACGCUGAGGUGCGAAAGCGUGGGGAGCAAACAG